rnacentral:rRNA from 1 species
GAUGGACGCUGGCGGCGUGCCUAAUACAUGCAAGUCGAGCGAACAGACGAGGAGCUUGCUCCUCUGACGUUAGCGGCGGACGGGUGAGUAACACGUGGAUAACCUACCUAUAAGACUGGGAUAACUUCGGGAAACCGGAGCUAAUACCGGAUAACAUGUUGAACCGCAUGGUUCAACAGUGAAAGACGGUCUUGCUGUCACUUAUAGAUGGAUCCGCGCCGCAUUAGCUAGUUGGUAAGGUAACGGCUUACCAAGGCAACGAUGCGUAGCCGACCUGAGAGGGUGAUCGGCCACACUGGAACUGAGACACGGUCCAGACUCCUACGGGAGGCAGCAGUAGGGAAUCUUCCGCAAAGGGCGAAAGCCUGACGGAGCAACGCCGCGUGAGUGAAGAAGGUCUUCGGAUCGUAAAACUCUGUUAUUAGGGAAGAACAAAUGUGUAAGUAACUAUGCACGUCUUGACGGUACCUAAUCAGAAAGCCACGGCUAACUACGUG